CCCAAACCAGGAAAUUCAAACUGGUAUUUAUGUUGCAAAUACCGUUGCAACCACUCGAAACGCAUUUGUCCGAUUACUAAAUACAAACAAUAACGACCAGUGUAGUAUACAUAUAUAUA